AACGUAGGACGCAAGCGUUAUCCGGAGUUACUGGGCGUAAAGCGCGGGCAGGCGGUUGCUCAAGUCUGAUGUGAAAUCUCUCCGCUCAACGGGGAGCAGCCAUUGGAAACUGGGCAACUGGAGUCUGGCAGAGGUAGGCGGAAUUCCGGGUGGAGUGGUGAAAUGCGUAGAGAUCCGGAGGAACACCAGAGGCGAAGGCGGCCUACUGGGCCAGUACUGACGCUGAGCCGCGAAAGCCAGGGGAGCGAACGGG
rnacentral:rRNA from 1 species